rnacentral:rRNA from 1 species
GACGAACGCUGGCGGCGUGCUUAACACAUGCAAGUCGAACGAAGUGGCGAACGGGUGAGUAACGCGUAAUCAACCUGCCCUUCAGAGGGGGACAACAGUUGGAAACGACUGCUAAUACCGCAUACUGAAGGAGGGGAUUGCGUCUGAUUAGCUAGUUGGAGGGGUAACGGCCCACCAAGUCGAUGAUCAGUAGCCUGUCGUAGAUGAUUGACGACCACCAUGGGACUUGGAAAAGGGCCCGGUUCCUACGGGGGGCAGCAGGGGGGGAUCUUCCGCAAUGGACGAAAGUCUGACGUAGCAACGCCGCGGGAGUGAUGACGGCCUUCGGGUUUUUAAGCUCUGUUAAUCGGGACGCGGUACCGGAAUAGAAAGCCACGGCUAACUACGUGCCAGCAGCCGCGGUAAUAC